UCACUAUAAAAAGUGAUUAAACAAUUUUACAUUUUUUAUAUGUAAAAGUGAAAAAAUGUCUGAAAUUCUCAAGUUUAUUUAUUUUCUUAUCAUUUUUGUUUCUCUAUUUCUUGCUGUAGUCAAAGGUUAUGAUUCAAAGGAGUGUUAUUCUGACUCUGAUUGUCAUAAAAAAUAUUCUUGUCCCUAUACACAUAUGAUGAAGUGUGUUGGUGGUUAUUGUUUGGGCUAUCACGAUGAUUAAGAAUAUCCUCACAACGAGAAUGAGGAGUACUAUCAAGGUGUUUGAUUACAAGAGUAAAAAGGAUAAUCAAUUGUUCACCUAUAUUAUGUAGUUCUUGAAAGUUUUUUGUAUUAUUAUUUAUAUUUAAAUUGGAUUCUAGGAUCUGAUAUUGUGACACCCGGGUCUAGUUUUCUACUCUAGUUUUGACUUGUUUUAUUAUGUAUUUUACUUAAUUAUAAGAAUAAUUGUAUGACUCUCCCAAGAAAACGUAUUUUAUGUUGAAUUAUGACAUUUAGUUUUUAUCA